rnacentral:siRNA from 1 species
UUCGACUUCGGUGUAAAGUAA